CCGGCGAAUGCCGGUGGAACUACAGGACGUCGUGGUUGCGGGUUCGACUCCCGCCGGCUCUCCGGGGCCGUAGCUCAAUCGGAUAGAGCGCGAUGCCGUUUCACCCGACUUGUCGCCGUUUU
rnacentral:Y_RNA from 1 species